rnacentral:tRNA from 1 species
CAGGCGCUGGUGAGCGAGGCGCUGGGCCGGCCCGGCAUGCCUGCCGGCGAUGCUGUGGCGGAGUUGAUCGCGCGGCUCGGCCUGCCGCGGCGCCUGC